GGGAGGAGGACCUGCUGCCUGAGGAGAGGGAGGUUCCUCUGCUAAAGUGAGUUCCUCUAAAUGUCUGUGUAGUCUGAGCUUGUCAAAUGCUGAAGGAUAGUGGUCAUAAUGCUGUUAUCCCCCAUUGACUCUAAUGGUUGACAUGCUCCAUUCCCUCCCUUUCACAGCCUCUACCUUACCACCAAGAGAGUGGAGGACAUCGCCCUGAGGCUCGUCUCCCUGCGCCAGGCCUUCACUACCCUGCUUGGUUCCACCCUGAGCAGGAACCAUCUGUUUGUGGCGGGAAAGGUCCUCCUGGGCGCUUUGGUUCAGGCCAACCACAUGGUAACUCACUAACUCAUUCUCUUUCAAGGGAAUUAGAGCAUCCCUAAGGGGAAAUGUGUUCUGUUCACUAAGAUGCUAUUUUCUUUGUCAUAGGACGAGGCCAAAUUCAUCCGUACCUAUAACGACUUUGUGGACUACCUGAGUGACCCCUCCAAGCGGAAUGACAUUGAGAGGGAGCUGGCUGAGGCAAAGAUCCAUCAUGUGAACAUGAUAGAUGUCCUCUUUGAGCUAGUGCUGUUUGGGAUGAUGACAGCUCAGAAGUCCCUGAUGGUGCACCCUGGUGGGUUCGUGGAGCGUCUGUACGCUCUCCUGUACUCCUUCCUGCCCACUGCUGCCAACAUGGAGCCAGAGGCUGACAGAUACCUGCUGCUGCUCAAUGUAAGAGUCAAAAGGUUACUUCCUGUUUACUUCCUUAUUCAUGGUUAACCAGGUCCCAAUGCCAUUUUAGGGGGAGUAUUUCUAAUUGUCUCUCUCCUCUUGAUAAGCUAGUACCUCAGAGCCAUUUUCUAUGUGUUGUGUGGUGUUCUCUUCAGGGCGGACUGAUGGCUCUGCUAGAUGACAUGUUUGGCCAGCAGCUGGCCUGGUACUUUAACCCAGAGUCUCUGGUCACUGAGCUCUCCAGCCUCCUGGAGUACCACUUGGAGAACGUCAUGGCCAGCAUGUAGUCCUACUGCAGGGACCAUACUCCUUUCUCCAUUUUUGCUUCUGUCUUUUCAUCUAUUUGAUUUAUGACCAUUUCCUCUUCCUGGAGGUAUAAUGCAUAUAUUAGAAUAUUACAUGAACAAUGAUGCUUUAUUAUCUGCAUAUGGAAAUAAAAAACUAUGUUUAGUUGAUUUACAGAUACUAUAGGCCCACACUUAUAUGGUUUUGUACAGUGAUAUGUGAUAAUGUACUAUUUAAACACAUGUAGGACUAUAUACACUGAGUGCACAAAACAUUAGGAACAUCUGCCCCUGAACAGGCAGUUAACCCACUGUUCCUUGGCCAUCAUUGAAAAUAAGAAUUUAUUCUUAACUGACUUGACUAGUUAAAUAAGAAAAUACUGUACUAUUUAAAAACAUGUAGGAUGACAUACACUGAGUCCACAAUAGACUAGGAACAUCUUCCUAAUAUUGAGUUGCACACUCUUUUCCCCUCAGAACAGCCUCAUUUCCUCUGGGCAUGGACUCGACAAGCUGCCCUAAGCGUUCCACAAGGAUGCUGGCCCAUGUUGUGUCAAGUUGGCUGGACGUCCUUUGGGUGGUGGACCAUUCUUGAUACACAUGGGAAACUGUUGAGCAUGAAAAAACCAGCAGUGUUGCAGUGCUUGACACACUUAACCCGGUGCGCCUGGCACCUACUACCAUACCCCGUUCAAAGGCAGUUAAAUAUUUUCUCAUGCCGAAUCACCCUCUGAAUGAC
ensembl:lncRNA